CGCCUCAUUGACGACUUAU
rnacentral:miRNA from 1 species